rnacentral:rRNA from 1 species
GCGGCGGACGGGUGAGUAACGCGUGGGUAACCUGCCUCAUACAGGGGGAUAACAGUUGGAAACGGCUGCUAAUACCGCAUAAGCGCACAGUACCGCAUGGUACGGUGUGAAAAACUCCGGUGGUAUGAGAUGGACCCGCGUCUGAUUAGGUAGUUGGUGGGGUAACGGCCUACCAAGCCGACGAUCAGUAGCCGACCUGAGAGGGUGACCGGCCACAUUGGGACUGAGACACGGCCCAA